UGGGGAAUUUUGGACAAUGGGCGCAAGCCUGAUCCAGCCAUGCCGCGUGCGGGAAGAAGGCCCUCGGGUUGUAAACCGCUUUUGUCGGGGAAGAAACGCACCGGUCUAAUACACCGGUGUAAUGACGGUACCUGAAGAAUAAGCACCGGCUAACUACGUGCCAGCAGCCGCGGUAAUACGUAGGGUGCAAGCGUUAAUCGGAAUUACUGGGCGUAAAGCGUGCGCAGGCGGGCUUUGCAAGACAGAUGUGGAAUCCCCGGGCUUAACCUGGGAACUGCAUUUGUGACUGCAUGGCUGGAGUGCGGCAGAGGGGGAUGGAAUUCCGCGUGUAGCAGUGAAAUGCGUAGAUAUGCGGAGGAACACCGAUGGCGAAGGCAAUCCCCUGGGCCUGCACUGACGCUCAUGCACGAAAGCGUGGGGAGCAAACAGGAUUAGAUACCCUGGUAGUCCACGCCCUAAACGAUGUCAACUGGUUGUUGGACGGCUUGCUGUUCAGUAACGAAGC
rnacentral:rRNA from 1 species